AGCAACUGCAUGGUAUCAUUAAGAGCUCCAGACAGGAAUUGCAAUUUGAUAAAUUUGAGUUGGCUGUCAAUGGCGCUGGUAGUAGUAAAACCAUGUUUUAUGUUUACAACAACACACCCAGCAGUUUGUAUGCCAAAAGCAGUGAGGCUGGCCUUGUCAUCUGCAGGGUUCCAACUGGCUCCAUUAUCUGCUCCUACGCCCCACCAGUCAUUAACAAUAAAGUUAUUCUUGCUGUCGAAAAAUUCUCUGAUCUCCUGAAGACAUGAGUGUUGGAAUUUAUCAACUACAGUAGGCACUGCGCAAGUUUUGUAUAAAUGAUGCAUGCUGGUUAUGUUUUCACGAAUACAGUGUUUUUAAUAUAACCACUAAGAUGAAGACGUCUUAAAGUUUUAUAAUCUUAAAUAGUAUUUUUAUAUGCAUUUUAGGUAAAUUUUGAUGAAAAAUUCAAUUGAAUUACUGAUAAAAUACAAUUUGUAAAAAGAUUUUAUAGAAAUAGAUCUGGUUGAAGUAAUUUUAAAUUAGUAUUUUUAAAAGGUGAAUUGUGUAUUGCUACAUAUAUUAGGUAGGGUCUAAACAAUACUGAAAUCAUCCAUAUAACUGGCAGUAUUAAAAAGUUUAUGGUCUGAAAUAUCUGUUCCUAUGUUGUGUUUUAUCGUGGUAUACAUUUAUUAUUUUGCUUCUUGGUUGAGAAGGUACAGUAAUAAGCCAACAAUACUGUAUAUGCAAACAAACAUGUUCUUUUAUUGAAAACAAUAACAUAUACGAUUAGCAUCCUGAGCUAAGAUAACAAAAAACAGGCAGUGUUAAAAA